rnacentral:rRNA from 1 species
UACGGAGGAUGCGAGCGUUAUCCGGAUUUAUUGGGUUUAAAGGGUGCGUAGGCGGGAGGAUAAGUUGAAUGUGAAAUCUAUGGGCUCAACCCAUAGCUGCGUUCAAAACUGUUCUUCUUGAGUGAAGUAGAGGCAGGCGGAAUUCCUAGUGUAGCGGUGAAAUGCGUAGAUAUUAGGAGGAACACCAGUGGCGAAGGCGACUUACUGGACUGUAACUGACGCUGAGGCAUGAGAGCAUGGGGAGCAAACAGG